rnacentral:ncRNA from 1 species
CUAGUGAGCAUAAGCGGUUAGUAUAUGGUGCUGUGCAAGCACAUAUGCGGGACAUUGCUCUGCAG